rnacentral:rRNA from 1 species
GAGCUUGCUCUCGGGUGACGAGUGGGGGACGGGUGAGUAAUGUCUGGGAAACUGCCUGAUGGAGGGGGAUAACUACUGGAAACGGUAGCUAAUACCGCAUAACGUCGCAAGACCAAAGAGGGGGACCUUCGGGCCUCUUGCCAUCACAUGUGCCCAGAUGGGAUUAUCUAGUAGGUGGGGUAACGGCUCACCUAGGCGACAAUCCCUAGCUGGUCUGAGAGGAUGACCAGCCACACUGGAACUGAGACACGGUCCAGACUCCUACGGGAGGCAGCAGUGGGGAAUAUUGCACAAUGGGCGCAAGCCUGAUGCACCCAUGCCGCGUGUAUGAAAAAAGCCUUCGGGUUGUAAAGUACUUUCAGCGGGGAGGAAGGUGUUGUGGUUAAUAACCCCAGCAAUUGACGUUACCCGCAGAAAAAACACCGGCUAACUCCGUGCCAGCAGCCGCGGUAAUACGGAGGGUGCAAGCGUUAAUCGGAAUUACUGGGCGU